GAUGAACGCUGGCGGCGUGCCUAAUACAUGCAAGUCGAGCGAACAGACGAGGAGCUUGCUCCUCUGACGUUAGCGGCGGACGGGUGAGUAACACGUGGAUAAACUACCUAUAAGACUGGGAUAACUUCGGGAAACCGGAGCUAAUACCGGAUAAUAUAUUGAACAGCAUGGUUAAAUAGUGAAAGACGGUUUUGCUGUCACUUAUAGAUGGAUCCGCGCCGCAUUAGCUAGUUGGUAAGGUAACGGCUUACCAAGGCAACGAUGCGUAGCCGACCUGAGAGGGUGAGCGGCCACACUGGAACUGAGACACGUUCCAGACUCCUACGGGAGGCAGCAGUAGGGAAUCUUCCGCAAUGGGCGCAAUCCUGACGGAGCAACGCCGCGUGAGUGAUGAAGGUCUUCUGAUCGUAAAACUCUGUUAUUGGGGAAGUACAAAUGUGUAAGUAACUAUGCACGUCUUGACGGUACCUAAUCAGAAAGCCACGGCUAACUACGUG
rnacentral:rRNA from 1 species